GACGUAGGGCGCGAGCGUUUGUCCGGAUUUAUUGGGCGUAAAGAGCUCGUAGGCGGCUUGUCGCGUCGGAUGUGAAAGCCCGGGGCUUAACCCCGGGUCUGCAUUCGAUACGGGCAGGCUAGAGUUCGGUAGGGGAGAUCGGAAUUCCUGGUGUAGCGGUGAAUGACGCAGAUAUCAGGAGGAACACCGGUGGCGAAGGCGGAUCUCUGGGCCGAUACUGACGCUGAGGAGCGAAAGCGUGGGGAGCGAACAGG
rnacentral:rRNA from 1 species